UUAGCUGAAGAAAUUUCUAAUAAAUAUUCUUAAACACAUUUUUUGAUAAGUCAACAGAUCUUAAAGGAAAACAAGAGGUUGAUAUAAUCAAUAGGUUGAUAUAAAAACCUUUCACUUGCUUACAUUUCCAAUUUGUGUAGUGCAGUGUCUUAAUUGCUUGUUUAACAAGAGCUUAACAAAGGCUUUGUUUGUGUUACCUGUCAAUAAAUUACUCCCUUCUUUAAGCCUUACUUUAAAAUGUUAUUUUUAUUUUAUAUUAAUACAAAUUGUUCUCCUAUGUACAGGGCCGGUACCACCAUUAAGGUGAAUUAGGCAUUCUCCAAGGGCGCAGAUCAUAGGGGGAGUACAACCAAGCUGCAUGGCAAAUAACACUUUAUGCAGCCCUGAUGCGAAGGACAGAUGUUGAUGGCACGACCAGUGCCCUGACAUCAUAUCCGGUUCUGCCUACUUGAACCUGAGCCCUCCUCCAGGGUUGUGUCACAGGAGGCAGGGUGGUCAGACCCAGCCGGGAUGCCUGGAAGGACCGGGAGGUGGUCUAUAUGUACCCCGGGCCAUGAGGGGGCAACUGCCCUGGAUGUAGAGGGGACCACAGGGAAGGAGCAAGAAGGCUCAAGCCCAAUGGAGCCUGUGGCCACCACCAAGGGGUUCCCCGAGCGUCGUGGAGCCCAGGAGAUCGGCACUUCCGCCACACCUGUGAAGAUGGAGGAAGGACCUUCCAAGGACGCCCGGAGU